UCUGUGUUGUUGUUUACAAAUACUGCUCUCUAGGUCUCAACAUCUCUUAAACACUGAGACUCUUCUUCUUCUUCACUCUCUUCACCGAACAAAAAAAAAAAAAAAAAAUUUUUGUUUAGGAGAGAUACCUUUUCGUUCUCUUCUAUAAUGGCGUAAGAUUGGUUUUUUGAUUCCUCCUUUCUCUAUUUUUUGAAGAACGAAGAAGAUUCAAAGCAGAGCAGAGCUAGGGUUUAUGAUUGAUGACCCAGAAUUAGGGUUCUCUUUGUCUUCUAAUUGAUGAAUGAGUUAGGGUUUCCAUGGCGUUUCUUCUUCUUCAACUUUCUCUCAUCUGAUUUGAUCGACCAACUAAAGGAAUAUAUAUUCAAGUGAUGAUCGGAAGAGCCGGAUGAUGGGGUUUCUUCUUUUGAUUUGACCGACCGCCAAAGUACAGAGAGAUGGAUUGAAGAAUAAAGAAGAAGAAUACUCGGAUCUGCUUUAUCUCAGAGAGAUGGAUUGAAGAGUGAAGACUGCUUAAGUGAUCCUAAUGGAAGUUAUAAGAAGACACUCUGAAUUCAUAGAUGAUGAAGAUAUAUAUGAUGCACUUUCUUCCCACUGAUGUUAAGGAUGGCAUCAAAAUCCUCUUCUUCUUAUUGGUCUGUGCUACUCAAGUGUGUGUGAGGGAUUAUGACCUUAACCAUGGAAUGCUCCUCUUCUUGCUUUGUGCUACUGAAGUUGGAACUCGACAAGGCACUAGAAUUCAACGCACCAUCCUUUGAACUAAAAGCUACUUGUCAUUGCCUCAUGCCAACAACUCCCAUCCACAGGUAUUAAACAGAUGUGUGUCCGUGUGUUCCAGCCAGAAUUUUUGGAGGAAGUAGAUUCACUCUAAAAACGGUUGAUGGAGAGCGUUCUUAAGGUAACAACAUCAACCUAAUUUUUGAAGGCAAGUGGUUCGAUGGCGUUUCUUCUUCUUCAAAUUUCUCUCAUUUGGUUUGAUCGACCAACUAAAGAUGCAGGAAGAUAUUGGUGCCAAGUGAUGAUCGGAGGAGCUGGAUGAUGGCGUUUCUUCUUCUGAUUUGACCGACCGCCAAGUACAGGUCAGAGAGAUGGAUUGAAGAAUACUCAAGUCUGCUUUAUCUCAGAGAGAUGGAUUGAACAGUGAAGAAGAAGAUGACUUAAGCAGACUGCUUAAGUGAUCCUAAUGGAAUUUAUCAGAAGACACUCUGAAUUCUCAGUUACUGUACGUGGGCUCCCAUCAUCUGUUCCAUGGCAACAUUUGAAGGAUCAUAUGUGGAGAGCUGGUUAUGUCUUCUUUAAUUUGCUGAGGUCACUCGAGACAGCUUCUGAGUCUUCCUCCUUUGUCCAUUUCAAAUUCUCCCCAUCCAUAAGUUAUGUUGCAGUCUUACACAACGAUGGUCAAAUCCUAUUCUGGAGAUUGAAUUGGCGUUUGUUUCAGGAGUCCAGAGAGACGACCACAAAUCUGUGAUACUUUAAUCUUCUGGAGAGUGUUGGGGUUUUAAUAAGAGGAGCCAAGAAUCAGUAUACCUGCUGCUGGUCAGAGAUGUAUUGAAAAAUGAAGAAGAAGACUCGUACUGCUUAAGGUCAAGAACCACCUGUGGCCUAGCGUUGAUGCUCAUAGCGGAGUGCUGCCGAACUAUUAUCGUCUAACCGAAAACAAGAUACAAAUACUACACUGCUUUUUGGGUGUCUCAAGGAGUCUCUUCAUCUGCUCACAGCUGAUAUAGGACCGGGCUCUUCGACUGCCACUAGAGCGGCCAAAGAGUGUAAACAUGGAGAGGUUACAUCUCCUCCAAAAGGUGAAACUUUGCAACUUCGUGGGGCCCUUAAGCUCCUCUCUAAACCACCGUAGGAUUAUCCGGUUCUUUGGUGUGGGUUUUAUGGGUCUUUGGUAACUUAUCAUCCAAAGUGUGGGGGUCAUAGGUGGUGGUUAUGCAGCUUUUGCUUUUUUUCAGGCUGGUCCUCAAGCUUUAUGAAGUGGUUGGUGCCUCUUAUUCUAACUGAGUCUGGAAAGGUCAAGAACCACCCAUGGCCUAACGUUGAUGCUCAUAGCGGAGUGUUGCUGAACUAUUAUCGUCUUACCGAAAGCAAGAUAAUUUUUCAAUCCAACCUGUUUUUCGUCAGAUCAAUGCUUCAGGUUUUGGUUUUACAGACCUUGUGUCGAGAUGGGCUACUAUAACAAUGUCUUUGAUGAAUGCAACGACCAAACUGAUAUCGGUAAUUACAAAGGAUUUAGAUUUGGAUUAAGCCUUAUGUUCAUGAGUCUUCGCAUUUUUCUAGACGAUGGAAGGGAAGUCAUUCUUCAAUGUUGGUCUCGCGUGUUCUCUUCUGCGACUGCAAGGAUGACGAAGAAGACUCUCUUGAAGUCAUUGCCGCCGCGGAGUCUGGAAGAGUGAAAACCAACCCCGACUUUGACAGCAAUACGUUCUGCGUCCCUGCUAACAGUGGAGAGUUGCUUUGUCAUUAUGUUGUCAAAGGAUCACAACAACAAGCAGCAAUAUGGACGGGCCUCAAGGAUUGUCAAAUUUGCUCAGAUACUACCAGAGAAAGGCAUCACUGGACCAUUUAUGGUUUCAGGUAUCAAAGAAGUAUGGUAUGAUGGAUGAAGCAUUGCAUUUGUAGUGAUUAUUUGGUUGUUGUCACGGCUGUCAGUGACUACAAAUAACCUCUCCAGCCUCAGAACCUGAAUGAUUGUGUUUCAUCUAUAGGUGACAAGAGGUGGAAGACGAGUGGAAAUUCUAUCUAUGAUAUUGUGGUGCGUGAUGUCAUACCUCUCAACAUUUGAAAUCAGGUGUGUGCUUAUCUAGCUCAUCGACUCAUACACAUCCAAACGACCAACAUAGAGCAAGAAAUCUAUGGUUCUGUUCACAAGAAACCUGCCCAAAAUCCAAGAAACACGCAACUGUCGUAAGAACUUCCACACACACAUUCAAAUAUACAGAGAUUCAGCAGAACAAUAAAACCCCCAUUGAGUAAAGCCUAAACAAUAUUACUCGUAAUACACAAUUUCAGCAGAAACCCACAGGUAAACAUUUGAACCACAUAUUUGCGUAGCUUAAUUUAAUUAAAAACAUAUGAGAUACACCCUGUACGCAAUAAGCAGAUUCUUAUAACAUCAAUGAAGAGCUAGUCAAACACAAAACGUCAUCCAAGCCAAUCAAUAAUUCAGUAUAAUGAAGAGAGAUUCAAAAAGUGACCCUUGGUGAUUGUAGGGUUGUAAAUUGGUCUGUCCAUAACCAAAUGGGCAUGUCCAUUUGGACACAUACAAUUUAUGGUCAUUUAUGUGUCAAGACCCAAAUACACCCACACUCAAAUAUGUCCAAACUAAAUAAGACCAUGACCAAUUGGUCUGUCCAUUGGUUGCAGAUUAAAGCAAAAUUCAUAAUCUCAUAAACUCAUAAUUAUAAAGCUAAAAGUUUAUAAACUCAUAAUUAUAAAGCUAAAGAUUUAUAAAUUUAUAAUACACUUAUAAUACUCAUAAAUACACGAAGAAAAAGAGAAGCGGCGAAAAAAAAAAAAAAAAUUCCCCAAAUAGUAAAAACCCUAAUUUUUUAGGAUUAUUGGACAGCCCACGUCCAAACUAGUUUAGACCAUAUAUAAAUGGGCUAAAUUGGUUUUAGGCCCAUUUGACCGUUUUAAAUUUGGUAAUAACCAAAACCAGUCCAAAUUAAUUUGGACCAGACAGCCCAUGGUUUUAGAGACCAAUUGACAUCUCUAGGUGAUUGGCAUAUCCAGUAAAUAUUAAAUAGUAGAUUCAUGAAGGAAAGAAGGAAAUACAGUACUUUUUAGUAACUUGAAAAGUUCAAAGUGCAAUUUUUUUUUUUUUUUUUGGAACUUUACGUUCA